ACGCUCGACACCUACGGGAGGCAGCAGUGGGGAAUAUUGGGCAAUGGGCGCAAGCCUGACCCAGCAACGCCGCGUGAAGGAAGAAGGCUUUCGGGUUGUAAACUUCUUUUGUCAGGGAAGAGCAGAAGACGGUACCUGACGAAUAAGCCACGGCUAACUACGUGCCAGUAGCCGCGGUAAUCUGAGCGGGCUGGCAAGGC
rnacentral:rRNA from 1 species